GACGAACGCUGGCGGCGUGCUUAACGCAUGCAAGUCGAGCGGUAAGGCCCUUUCGGGGGUACACGAGCGGCGAACGGGUGAGUAACACGUGGGUGACCUGCCCUCAGCUCUGGGAUAAGCCUGGGAAACUGGGUCUAAUACUGGAUAUGACUCCACGGUGCAUGUCGUGGGGUGGAAAGCCUUGUGCGGCUGAGGAUGGGCCCGCGGCCUAUCAGCUUGUUGGUGGGGUGAUGGCCUACCAAGGCGACGACGGGUAGCCGGCCUGAGAGGGCGACCGGCCACACUGGGACUGAGACACGGCCCAGACUCCUACGGGAGGCAGCAGUGGGGAAUCUUGCGCAAUGGGCGAAAGCCUGACGCAGCGACGCCGCGUGAGGGAUGACGGCCUCGGUUGUAAC
rnacentral:rRNA from 1 species